CUUGUGGGUAUUAAGAUAUUUCGGAAGCUCACUCUUCAGGACACUAAAUAUCAACACUACAUAUCCUUUUGAAAAAGUUGGAAGACUUCAUGAUCCUAAGACCUAUCAAUAUGAUCUUAUAAUGCUGAUUGUGGAAGGAGGUCUAAAGUGAAAUCCCUUGAGAAUCUGCAGUUGGCCCUUCCAUUAUUUAACAUUUUUGUGAAUGACUUAAAUAAAGGAACUAAAGACUUGCAUAUCCCAUUUGCAGAAGACAAAGCUGGGAAGGAUAGCUGAGCUCUCUUGCAGUUUGCUUUGAAGAGGAGAGGUUGAAUUCAGAAAUGGAAAUAGUAGAGGUAGGGGGAAGGUGGCAAAGACUGAAAAUUGAGCAAGAAAAUUAGGAACAUUCAAAUCCUGUCUUAGUUCAAAAAGUGAAAAUGAGUUUUUCUUUCUCAUCAAUUUUUCAUUUGUGCUUUGGUAAAAUCACACCCACAGAUCCACCACAGCCCACUUGG